UUCCGGUUGAUCCUGCCAGAGGUCACUGCUAUCGGGGUUCGAUUAAGCCAUGCGAGUCGAGAGGGUUCGGCCCUCGGCGUACUGCUCAGUAACACGUGGAUAACCUGCCCUAGGGGAGGGGAUAACCCCGGGAAACUGGGGAUAAUACCCUAUAGGUUACAGAUGCUGGAAUGCCCUGUAACCAAAAGCUCCGGCGCCCUAGGAUGGAUCUGCGGCCGAUUAGGUUGUUGUUGGGGUAACGGCCCAACAAGCCCGUAAUCGGUACGGGUUGUGGGAGCAAGAGCCCGGAGUUGGAUUCUGAGACACGAAUCCAGGCCCUACGGGGCGCAGCAGGCGCGAAACCUUUACAAUGCGGGCAACCGUGAUAAGGGAACCUCGAGUGCCUGUAAACGCAGGCUGUUCAGGUGUUUAAAACGCACCUGGAGAAAGGGCCGGGCAAGACCGGUGCCAGCCGCCGCGGUAAUACCGGCGGCUCGAGUGGUGGCCGCUUUUAUUGGGCUUAAAGCGUUCGUAGCUGGGUUGUUAAGUCUCUUGGGAAAUCUGGCGGCUUAACCGUCAGGCGUCUAAGGGAUACUGGCAAUCUUGGAACCGGGAGAGGUGAGGGGUACUUCGGGGGUAGGGGUGAAAUCCUGUAAUCCUCGAGGGACCACCUGUGGCGAAGGCGCCUCACCAGAACGGCUUCGACAGUGAGGGACGAAAGCUGGGGGAGCAAACCGGAUUAGAUACCCGGGUAGUCCCAGCCGUAAACGAUGCGCGUUAGGUGUAUCGGUGACCACGAGUUACCGAGGUGCCGAAGGGAAACCGUGAAACGCGCCGCCUGGGAAGUACGGUCGCAAGGCUGAACUUAAAGGAAUUGGCGGG
rnacentral:rRNA from 1 species